rnacentral:rRNA from 1 species
CUCGGUGCCCAUGGCGCUGAGGAAACACUCGUUCCCAUUCCGAACACGAAAGUUAAGCUCAGAAGCGGCGAAUAUACUGCGCAAGUGGGAAACUAGCACGGUGCCGAAU